GACGAACGCUGGCGGCGUGCUUAACACAUGCAAGUCGAACGGAAAGGCCCUGCUUUUGUGGGGUGCUCGAGUGGCGAACGGGUGAGUAACACGUGAGUAACCUGCCCUUGACUUUCGGAUAACUUCAGGUAACUGAAGCUAAUACCGUAUAGGAUAUCCUGCUUCUUGGUGGGGGUUGGAAAGUUGCGGCGGUUGGGGAUGGACGAGCGGCUUAUCAGCUUGUUGGUGGGGUAGUGGCUUACCAAGGCAUUGGCGGGUAGCCGGCCUGGGAGGGUGACCGGCCACCUUGGGCCUGCGCUACGGCCCAGACUCGUAUGGGAGGCAGAGGGGGGGAAUAUUGCACAGUGGGCGGAAGCAUGAUGCGGCAACGCCCCGGGCGGGAUGACGGGCUUCGGGUAGUAAACCGCUUCCGCCUGUGACGAAGCGUUAGUGACGGUAACGGGUAAAGAAGCACCGGCUAACUACGUG
rnacentral:rRNA from 1 species